CUCCUGUAGCUAAAAGAAUAUAAAAACCCUGUAACAACAAUAAACUUUGCUUCUUGAGCCACCAGAGCCUAAGCCUGUCUGUCCCAGGCGUCUUCAGCUGAUCUCCGUCAUUUGGUGCCGAAACCCGGGAAUCUCGGACUCCAAUGACAAAGGCGUCGCUUCCUCCCACGAGCCGCGGUUGGUUACUAAUGCCGCUGUGCAGACACAACAGAUAGUCGAUCAGGCUCGAUCAGAUCCCCUUGCUGUUUUGCCUGCCUUUCGAGCAGGGCGAAUGCCUCCCCCGCCUGGAGCAGAUGCUUUGCUUAUGCAACAAUCUCCUAUGCAAUUGGCUUUGAAAGAAGCUAGGAAAGCUGAGGAAACAAUAGAUGAAUUUUCUGGGCAACUUUUCCCAUCUCAAGUUUUCCCUGUCAUACAGUAUCAACUUGCAAACGGUGGCAUUCUGAAUGAUUAUGAGCCUAUUCCUUUUAAACAACUGAAAGAGCUUAAAGCUGCUAAUAUUCUUCCCCCUUCUGACUGGAAAAGCUUGGCAAAGGCUGUGUUAAGUGAAGGUGAAUAUUUGCUUUCGACUUCCGAAUAUGCGGAACGGUUCUUCUUGUGCCCCUUUAUUACCAGUUCCUCAUUUUGGAGUGAACCCCAGAGGAUUAAUGCCUAAUGAUUUAUGGCAGAUGGAUAUCACACAUGUACCUUCUUUUGGAAAAUCUUCUUAUGUCCAUGUAACAAUUGACACUUUCUCUCACUUUGCAGUAGCCCUCAGCCUUGUCUGGUGAAAAACUCUCUCAUGUAUGCAACCAUCUUUUGCAUUGUUGUAGCGUUAUGGGAACACUGAAAUCAUUAAAAACUGAUAACGGGCCAGCUUAUAUGAAACCUCACCAUGGUGGAUACCGGAGAGAUAUGUCCGACAUGCCGAAAACAAAGAUGGGAAAACUGCGAAGGAAGAUGCAGAGACUGACUCUAACCCAGAUGUGGGAAAGAAAGAUGCAAGUGAAAAUACGACUCAUGGCCCUAAUCCUUAGUACCUUUUGGAU